UUGCUCCUGGAUUCAGCGGCGGACGGGUGAGUAAUGCCUAGGAAUCUGCCUGGUAGUGGGGGAUAACGUCCGGAAACGGGCGCUAAUACCGCAUACGUCCUGAGGGAGAAAGUGGGGGAUCUUCGGACCUCACGCUAUCAGAUGAGCCUAGGUCGGAUUAGCUAGUUGGUGGGGUAAAGGCCUACCAAGGCGACGAUCCGUAACUGGUCUGAGAGGAUGAUCAGUCACACUGGAACUGAGACACGGUCCAGACUCCUACGGGAGGCAGCAGUGGGGAAUAUUGGACAAUGGGCGAAAGCCUGAUCCAGCCAUGCCGCGUGUGUGAAGAAGGUCUUCGGAUUGUAAAGCACUUUAAGUUGGGAGGAAGGGCAGUAAGUUAAUACCUUGCUGUUUUGACGUUACCAACAGAAUAAGCACCGGCUAACUUCGUGCCAGCAGCCGCGGUAAUACGAAGGGUGCAAGCGUUAAUCGGAAUUACUGGGCGUAAAGCGCGCGUAGGUGGUUCAGCAAGUUGGAUGUGAAAUCCCCGGGCUCAACCUGGGAACUGCAUCCAAAACUACUGAGCUAGAGUACGGUAGAGGGUGGUGGAAUUUCCUGUGUAGCGGUGAAAUGCGUAGAUAUAGGAAGGAACACCAGUGGCGAAGGCGACCACCU
rnacentral:rRNA from 1 species